UCGACGGACACUCAGGGCUUGCUCUGAGUGUUAGUGGCGGACGGCUGAGUAACGCGUAGGUGACCUGCCCCGAAGUGGGGAAUAACUGCCCGAAAGGGUGGCUAAUACCGCAUGUGGUGAUGCGUUCGAUCGCAUCAGUAAAGCCGCAAGGCGCUUCGGGAGGGGCCUGCGUCCGAUUAGCUCGUUGGUGGGGUAACGGCUCACCAAGGCGACGAUCGGUAGGUGGUCUGAGAGGACGAUCACCCAGACUGGGACUGAGACACGGCCCAGACUCCUACGGGAGGCAGCAGUCGGGAAUUUUGCGCAAUGGACGAAAGUCUGACGCAGCAACGCCGCGUGAGGGAUGACGGCCUUCGGGUUGUAAACCUCUUUUGUCAGGGACGAUAAUGACGGUACCUGGCGAAUAAGCCACGGCUAACUACGUGCCAGCAGCCGCGGUAAUACGUAGGUGGCAAGCGUUGUCCGGAUUUACUGGGCGUAAAGAGCGCGCAGGCGGUCGAUCAAGUCGCGUGUGAAAGCCCCCGGCUCAACUGGGGAGGGUCACGCGAUACUGAUCGACUCGAAGGCAGGAGAGGGUAGUGGAAUUCCCGGUGUAGUGGUGAAAUGCGUAGAUAUCGGGAGGAACACCAGUGGCGAAGGCGACUAC
rnacentral:rRNA from 1 species